UAAUUAAUAAAAGAAUGAAAAAUUAAAACUCACACACAUAGUGUGUGUGAGUCUGCGAUCGAACAGAGGGAGGGACAAGGUGAAAAACCUAGCUUUGUUAAUUCCAUCAAAUUGAGUAGAGAUUUCAAGGAUAAUCAGUUGCAUGACCCUAAAUUUCGAUCAUCCAAACGUACUCAGUAAAGUGGCGUAAAAGAAGAAAGCUCAAACGCUAGGAAAUUUGGAAAGCUCGCAAGAUCGAGGUAAAUCCUCAACAUAAUGGCUUGGCGACUUGGAACGAACACACAUGAAUCACGUCCACCAUGUGCUUCCGCUACUUUUGUAAUUAUGUUAUGGGUCAAAAAUACUUUUGUGGUAUAUAACUUUUGUUUAGUAGCUAGACUUUAAAGCUUAACAUGUUAUGUCUUUUGAAUGUGUCGUAGAAUUUCUUGAAAUGAUGAUUGUUAAAAACAGGGAACCGCUCAUGUUACGAACGGGUCAUGCCCAAUUUUUGUUAAAAAUAGUAUGUCAUUAAUAAUAUUUCCGAGUGUGCAUUAAGGGUGUUUCAAAUACUUUUGUUACAAAUAGUUUAUGUUUAGUUGUUAAGCUUUAAAUCUUAGUAUGCUAUGUCUUACGUAUAACCUAGCUGGUUACGAAUGUCUAAACAGAAUGGUUUUUGUAUGAACAAUUAUGUUUAUUUCUAAUGGUAUGUAAAAAGUUUAAACUGGGUCA